rnacentral:rRNA from 1 species
UAGCUACAGGCUAACACAUGCAAGUCGAGGGGCAGCAUGAGCUUAGCUUGCUAAGCUGAUGGCGACCGGCGCACGGGUGAGUAACGCGUAUCCAACCUUCCCCUUACGUAGGGCAUAGCCCGGUGAAAUACGGAUUAAUACCCUAUGUUCUUCACAGCGGGCAUCUAACGUGAAGCAAAGGUUCACCGCUAAGGGAUGGGGAUGCGUCUGAUUAGGUAGUCGGCGGGGUAACGGCCCACCGAGCCAUCGAUCAGUAGGGGUUCUGAGAGGAAGGUCCCCCACAUUGGAACUGAGACACGGUCCAAACUCCUACGGGAGGCAGCAGUGAAGAAUAUUGGUCAAUGGUCGAGAGACUGAACCAGCCAAGUAGCGUGCAAGGAUGACGGCCCUAUGGGUUGUAAACUGCUUUUAUGCGGGGAUAAAGUCACCCACGUGUGGGUGUUUGCAGGUACCGCAUGAAUAAGGACCGGCUAAUUCCGUGCCAGCCGCAGC